UCUGAAGGACAGAGGCUGCAGUUGGCUCUCAGCAGCUGAUGGCUGAGAUUCUCACCCAGGGACAAUGUCGGGGACAUUUGGAAAUGUGCAGCUCCUGCUAUUUUUCCAUCAGAGAUCUCUGUCUCCCAUUCUGAUUAAUUUAAUGAACACGUACCCAGCGCACGACCAGUGUAUCAGGCACUGUUCCAAGUGCCUUGCCAGUAUUAACUCAUCCGACCCUCACAGCCACCCAGGGAGGCUGAUUCCACCAUAUUCUCCAUUUUACACACGUGGAGACCGAAGCCCAGCAGUGCUGCUACCCAUGAUUCUAGGCCCAGAUUGGCACACUUCCUCUACGGAGUUUCCAGAUUGUUCUAGACCCUCAUCCUGGGCACCAUCCACUCUGCUCACACACGGACUGCUCUCUGCCCUCUGGGGUUCCUUGGUCUCCCCACGCAGCGCAAGAGGUGGGCUCUUCAAUGGCAGGGUCCCCCACUCCUACCAACACACAGACACAUACCCAUCCAUCCCCCAAUCAGGACCCCACCCGAGCUGCAGCCUGAGUACCCGUGAGAUUAAACUGAGGUCCAGAGAGGGCAGGCAGGUCACCCAGCACUUCUCCCGUCUUCUAGAUGGAGGCAGCACGGUGCCCACCUAGGCCGGGUCUGGCAGUGGAACAGCCCAGGACAGGCUGGAACCAGGAAACCACCUCUGCCCCCACCUCACCAUGUAACCUAAGCAUGUCCCCUCCUCUCUGGGCUCCAGUUUCCCGAGUAAACCUGGGAUAACCAGCCCAACGCCACCUCCCAGGCCUCCCAUGAGGGUCAGUUCAGUGAACUGACUGAACUUCAGUGAACAUUCAGUGCUUUGGGAUCUGACAAAAGUUCGGUAAACAAGUUUGGGGGAAGGAUCCUGUUCCCUGACGCGUACACUGCUAAGAGCUCUUUGUACAAGCGCAGGGCCCUGAGACUGUGAAUCAGUGCCUUAAAGGUGAAACACCCCGUGAUGUGUUCAGCAAAGCAUCCUGCACUUUGUAAACUGUCGUUUUGCCGUGCCAGCUGCAAAGUGCUUUCUACAAUACAAAGUACCUGGAAAUUGUAAUACCCUUGGGUGACAGCAAAACCUUUGGCCAACUGUAAAGCAUAUGACAUUCUUUGCAAAUUCUAAUAUCCUAUGUAAACAGUAAAGAAGUAUUUGUAAACUGUGAAGGGCUGUAUGUGUCCCUUUGUCAACAAUAAAACAUCAUACACUCAUCAGGCCCUCUGUCAGCUUCGCUUUGAACCUGUUUUGCAGAUGAUAAAAAUUCUUUACAAAUUCUGAGAGAUGAUGUCAACAGUGAAGUCCCUGGUAAGCUAUGAAGAGCCUUGUAAAUGGUCACAUAAUUUAUAAAUAAACUGAUAUUGGUAAACUCCAACAUUUCAGUAAGUGAUAAAAGCUUCCGUUAUCCUAACUUUUUAGUUAGAAAUAUUUGACACUUCCUGUGAAGACACACUAACGAACAAUGAGCAGGUUCUCCUCAUAUAUGCUACCCAGCGUUGAAAUGUUACCCUAUUCGAUCUCUUUCUCCUUCCAUAAUUUUUUUCUGUUCCAUGUAAGAGUGCUGUUGCAGACAGUUCACUCAACCCUAAAACCUUCAGAUGCACCUCCUAAGAACGAGGACAGCCUCCCACAGAACCACAGUACAAUUUCUCACACGGGAAAUUUAACAUGGAUACGAUCCCAUUAGCUGAGCUAAGUCCGUAUUCCAACUUCCCAACCAUCCCCAUCAUGUGCCUUAUAGAUGUUCUUAUACGUCUGUGAUCCAGGACCCAGGAUCCAGUUCAGGCUCACACACUGCACUUACUACCACUGGUCAGAUCUCUCUGUCUCUUCUGAUCUGAAUCAGUUCCCAAUGGUAGCUUCUUUGUAAAUUCUAGGCAGUGUUUCCCAAAAUUUUUAAAACUAGAAUCCACAGUAAAAACCAAGUUAAUUAAUUAAAUUACGCUGUAACUCAGCACAUAAUAACACUUAUACUUAAAAACACACUGUUUUUAGAGCUUACAAACCACUUGGUAUUUACCUAAAAUGUUGGGAGUUUACUAGGUAUUCUUCUAACUUUCUUGGUGGCAACCUGGGGUAAGAAACACCUUUACAUGGUGACCACGUGUUUUCCACACACAUAUGUAAACACACACAUAUGCAAAUAUAUACACUGAAAUAAACUUAUCUUAAACUAUACUCACCCUUACUACAUUCAACUACCCUGAUAUUUUCUAAUCUUUUCUAUUUCAUUUUUUUUUAACUGCCUGACACAGUCCAACGAGCUGAUCACAAUCCACCAAUCCCAACCAAGUAACAGAUCUUGAUAUGCAAUUUGAAAGUCUGGGAACCUUCCUGAGUGAGCAGAUAAUAAAAUGCUUGGUGAGCUUUGCAGUGAUUUGUGGCCCACACAGUACUGCCCCCAAAGACCUCCUUAAACUGAAGUGAGCUUUAUAAACUGCAAUCAAACUUUGUGGUUGGGGCUCUGCUCCAUAAACUGUACAGUCCCUGUACCUCCAUAGCUU